rnacentral:tRNA from 1 species
GCCUGCGUAGUUCAACGGACAGAACGCGCCCCUCCUAAGGGUGAAAUACAGGUUCAAUUCCUGUCGCGGGCACCA